UGCCCCCUUCCUUGCCCCCUUCCUUGCCCCCUUCCUUGCCCCCUUCCUUGCCCCCUUCCUUGCCCCCUUCCUUGCCCCCCUUCCUUGCCCCCCUUCCUUGCCCCCCUUCCUUGCCCCCCUUCCUUGCCCCCCUUCCUUGCCCCCAUGCUCGUCACCUUCCCCUUACCUCGCCUUUACUUACCUGCUAUUAGCCCUCCUGAUCCUUCAUUUUUAUCUUCCUUGCUGACUUCUUUGCUUUCUCUUUGUAUUCCAUUUGUUGUUUUGCUUUGCUUUUUCUUUAUUUGGUUUUCCAUUUGUGUUGGGUUUUUUUUUGCUUUCUUUUUCUUAUUUUUCUGUGGAAUUUUUUGAAUGUAUUUUCUUUGCUUCCCUUGCCUUCUCUUGUUGUUUCCUUCUCAAUGGCUCAGAUGGCUUCUCGCCUCCUGGGUGCCCUUGCCUCUUUCCUUGCCAUGGCCUUGAGGCUUUUCCUCAGCUGGCUGGCUGAUCCGUGCCCCGGCAGGCUGCCCUUUCCUCCUGCCAGGCACACAUGCAGCAUACCCCAAUCCCGCUGCCAUUCAGGGUGAUGACGGAGGGUGAAGAACAUGUCAGCAUGGGUGGUUUCCUCCCACUUACCCUCCCUCUCCUGAAACAUGAGCUGCAGAAGGGUAUUGUAAAUCAAAGUGCCAUUGACAGGCCAUUUUUCACCACUUCCCAACUUGUAUAACAACCUCCACUGAUUACAAUGCUCGAUUAAAGUUUUCUUGCUCACGGUC